rnacentral:misc_RNA from 1 species
AAGUCGUAACAAGGUUUCCGUAGGUGAACCUGCGGAAGGAUCAUUAACACGUAUCCAACGUUAAACAACCCUGUGAACUUUUAGCCUGCUCUCGCAGCCCAUUGCGGAACAGCAAUCCCGGUAAAUCAUUGACGAACAGGUUUGAUUCGGGACCUCUGUCCAAAAGAGCUGCGAUUGACGCGGUAGAGUCAGUGGCAUGGCGUCCCCAAGCAGUCAGUGAAUGACAGUGUCACUAGCUGUGUAAGGAUAACACUUCAUGGUUGCUAGAGGUUGAUCACCAACCGGCAGACAUGCCACAGGGCCACCACGCCCCUUUAAUAACCCCACUUUUUUUAUACCUCGAAUUGUGCUAACGCACAAGGAUAAAACCGAACAACUGUUAACAAUGGAUAUCUUGGUUCUC